GACGGAGGAUGCAAGCGUUAUCCGGAAUUAUUGGGCGUAAAGCGUCCGCAGGUGGCUGUACAAGUCUGCUGUCAAAGCGCAGAGCUUAACUCUGUACAGGCGGUGGAAACUGAAGAGCUAGAGUAUGGUAGGGGUAGAGGGAAUUCCCGGUGUAGCGGUGAAAUGCGUAGAUAUCGGGAAGAACACCAGUGGCGAAAGCGCUCUACUGGGCCAUAACUGACACUGAGGGACGAAAGCUAGGGGAGCGAAAGGG
rnacentral:rRNA from 1 species